GCUGGGUAUAGACCCGAAACCAGGUGAUCUAUCCAUGAGCAGGUUGAAGGUUGGGUAACACUAACUGGAGGACCGAACCCACUGUCGUUGAAAAGCCAGGGGAUGACUUGUGGAUAGGGGUGAAAGGCUAAUCAAACUUGGUGAUAGCUGGUUCUCCCCGAAAGCUAUUUAGGUAGCGCCUCGGACGAAUACCAUUGGGGGUAGAGCACUGUUUCGGCUAGGGGGUCAUCCCGACUUACCAAACCGAUGCAAACUCCGAAUACCAAUGAGUACUAUCCGGGAGACAGACUGCGGGUGCUAACGUCCGUAGUCAAGAGGAAAACAAUCCAGACCGCCAGCUAAGGCCCCAAAAUUAUAGUUAAGUGGGAAACGAUGUGGGAAGGCAUAGACAGCUAGGAGGUUGGCUUAGAAGCAGCCACCCUUUAAAGAAAGCGUAAUAGCUCACUAGUCGAGUCGGCCUGCGCGGAAGAUGUAACGGGGCUAAAACUAUAUGCCGAAGCUGCGGAUGCAUAAUUUAUUAUGCGUGGUAGGGGAGCGUUCUGUAAGCCGAUGAAGGUGGAUUGAGAAGUCUGCUGGAGGUAUCAGAAGUGCGAAUGCUGACGUGAGUAACGACAAUGCGAGUGAAAAACUCGCACGCUGAAAGACCAAGGGUUCCAGUCCAACGUUAAUCGGGGCUGGGUGAGUCGACCCCUAAGGCGAGGCCGAGAGGCGUAGUCGAUGGGAAAUUGGUUAAUAUUCCAAUACUUCUGUGUAAUGCGAUGAGAGGACGGAGAAGGUUAAGUCAGCCUGGCGUUGGUUGUCCAGGUGGAAGGUUGUAGGCAUGUAUCUUAGGCAAAUCCGGGGUACUCUAUGCUGAGAACUGAUAGCAAGCUGUACUUGUACAGUGAAGUGGCUGAUACCAUGCUUCCAGGAAAAGUCUCUAAGCUUCAGUUACACAGGAAUCGUACCCGAAACCGACACAGGUGGUCAGGUCGAGUAGACCAAAGCGCUUGAGAGAACUCUGCUGAAGGAACUAGGCAAAAUGGUACCGUAACUUCGGGAGAAGGUACGCUGUUGUCUGUGAUAGGACUUGCUCCUUGAGCGGCCGACAGCCUCAGAAACCAGGCCCCUGCAACUGUUUAUUAAAAACAUAGCACUCUGCAAACACGAAAGUGGACGUAUAGGGUGUGAUGCCUGCCCGGUGCUGGAAGGUUAAUUGAUGGGGUUAGCGUAAGCGAAGCUCUUGAUCGAAGCCCC
rnacentral:rRNA from 1 species